rnacentral:tRNA from 1 species
GGUGCCUUGGCCGAGCGGCGAGGCAGCGGCCUGCAAAGCCGCCCAGACGGGUUCGACUCCCGUAGGCACCUCGA